rnacentral:rRNA from 1 species
GACGAACGCUGGCGGCGUGCUUAACACAUGCAAGUCGAGCGGAGCGGCGAACGGGUGAGUAACGCGUGAGUAACUGCCCACCACGCUGGGUAAACAGCUGGAAACGGCUGCUAAUACCGGAUAGUGGGGGAUGACUCGCGUCCUAUAAGCUUGUUGGUGAGGUAGUGGCCUACCAAGUCGACGACGGGUAGCCGGCCUGAAAGGGCGACCGGCCACAUUGGGAUGAGAUACAGCCGAGAAACCAACGGGAGGCAUCAGUGGGGAAUAGUGCACAAUAGGGAAAACCCUGAUGCAGCGGCGCGGGUGCGGAAUGGCGUCCUUCGGGUUGUAAACCGCGUUCAUCCAGGACGCGGUAGUGGCAGAAGAAGCACCGGCUAACUACGUGCCAGCAGCCGCGGUAAUAC